ensembl:lncRNA
CAACAACUUAAAUUUUAUUGCUGACUUUUGAAAUCGAGAGAAUUUGAACUCAAUAUCCAAAAGGUCAUGGAGUACAGGAGGGGAGCCUGAAGACUGGAGGAAAACCAAUGUCACACCAGACUUCAAAAAGGGCAAGAAAGAGGAGCUGAGAAACUACAAAUCAGUCAACCUCACCUGAAUCCCUGGGAAUAUGAUGGAACAACAAUUUUCAUCCCUCAUCCCACCUGGGGAGGAGUGAGCAAACAACUGUGUGGUGCUCAACUGCCUGCCAGGUAAAACGACAGCAGAGAGUGACAGAGCCUUG